rnacentral:rRNA from 1 species
AUUGAACGCUGGCGGCAGGCUUAACACAUGCAAGUCGAGCGAGCGGCGGACGGGUGAGUAAUGUCUGGGAAACUGCCUGCUGGAGGGGGAUCACUACUGGAAACGGUAGAUAAUACCGCAUACCAUCAGAUGUGCCAAGAUGGGAUUAGCUAGUAGGUGGGGUAAGGUCUCACCUAGGCGACGAUCCCUAGCUGGUCUGAGAGGAUGACCAGCCACACUGGAACUGAGCCACGGUCCAGAAGCCUACGGGAGGCAGCAGUGGGGAAUAGUGCACAAAGGGCGCAAGCCUGAUGCAGCCAUGCCGCGUGUGUGAAGAAGGCCUUCGGGUUGUAAAGCACUUUCAGUGAGGAGGCGUUACUCGCAGAAGAAGCACCGGCUAACUCCGUGCCAGCAGCCGCGGUAAUUC